GACGAACGCGGCGGCGUGCUUAACACAUGCAAGUCGAACGGAAAGGCCCUGCUUUUGUGGGGUGCUCGAGUGGCGAACGGGUGAGUAACACGUGAGUAACCUGCCCUUGACUUUGGGAUAACUUCAGGAAACUGGGGCUAAUACCGGAUAGGAGCUCCUGCUGCAUGGUGGGGGUUGGAAAGUUUCGGCGGUUGGGGAUGGACUCGCGGCUUAUCAGCUUGUUGGUGGGGUAGUGGCUUACCAAGGCUUUGACGGGUAGCCGGCCUGAGAGGGUGACCGGCCACAUUGGGACUGAGAUACGGCCCAGACUCCUACGGGAGGCAGCAGUGGGGAAUAUUGCACAAUGGGCGGAAGCCUGAUGCAGCAACGCCGCGUGCGGGAUGACGGCCUUCGGGUUGUAAACCGCUUUCGCCUGUGACGAAGCGUG
rnacentral:rRNA from 1 species